GUCAGGCCGCGGUUGGGCUCCAGAAACAACGGUACGAGACAAUGUGCUUGCGCAAGUGAGUGACGCGGAACGCGGUAGGCAGUCGAGAAUUGUGCGGGUUCUCGUCCCCGACAAAUCCAACGGUACAUCUCCGGUCAACUUGGACACCUGUCGCGCGAACCAAUUACCUACUCUCUUACGAGAACAACGAGACAGAAGAACAACGAAUCUCUAACAAUAAGCAGCUAUGCGUUGACAAUGAGCGAUGGACGAGUAUUGGAAGUAUACAAGUUUCAGCGAGAAAAACGUACUCCGAUUCUCGCUUCACCGUUCUUUUCAACGUUUUUCAACUCCAGAAGUUGACCUGGUUCCAGCUGCAUAAGAGACCGGGUUUUUUUUUGACCUGGGAAAUUCUUUCAACCCUGGAAAUUCCAUUGCAGUGAACUCGCCGCAUCGUGGAAGUAUAGUACAGAUGUAUAAUGAACUGUGUACAUGAACGUUGAGUGGUCUUCCCCUCCAGCUAGACACUGGACAGUGAAAGCGACGGACAUUUAUCGGAACGCUGCAUUACGUACAUAGGUAUAUGUAUGUGGAUGGUACAUACACUUUUAUACAGGAUGUUUCACUUGCAAUGUGAAGGGCGCGGCUCGACUCUUGUAGACAGAUCUUACAGGUAUCCUGGAGCGAAUGAAAUUCACCCACAACGCAUUUUAUUUCAUGGGUCAUUACGCAGCGAUUCUUACGUAACUGCAUCAAUAUGUUUUUUACAUCCGUCUCUCGUAUCGGAGAGUUAAAGUAAGUAAAAUGUAUAUUGUAAUAAUUGGCAAUAAGAGAAAAACAAUUUUCAUGUACUCCUACACACGUUACUAUAGGAUAAAGUCUAACAAACUUGAGUGAUGUGAUCUUUAACGGCUCGACCGAUACCGGUUUUCUCUCUGCAGGGUCAAAAUCCAGAUUAGAACGAGUUAUAUACGUAUACACCUACAUACAGCUGGGGAUAACCUAGAUCCUUUUAAUUCAGUUAAGCCGGUUCGCUGGCGCGUGUUCGAGCGAGUUAGUUACCUUGGUUCAUUUGUGGUCCAGUCUUUGCCUUUCUAAAGAAAUAAUUUCACCAGAUCUAGGAGGCGUGGAUGACGAUUAAGUUUUCUUAUACAAAUACACACGGAGGCGCGUACAUACGCCUAUAUAUAAAAAAAAUAUAUAUAUAUAUACAUGUUCAAGUGUCCGAAAUUUUUACGAUAUUUUAUAAAUCACACUGAAACGAUGCCUUGAGUCAACGGGGUCAAGCACUUGCGGCAGUAAAUUUCUAAGUAGAUAAUUGACCGUAAUUUAAGAAUAUUUUAACAUCUAGAGGUGAACAAAACAUGGAAAAAACAUUAUAGGUAUAUUAUGAAAUAUUUAUUAAGUUCAUGCACACGUUGGCUCGUUCAUAUGCGUCAGUUGCGUUAUAAAAUCAAGUGAUUGCAUCUAACCUGACGUGAGAAUUGAAAUUCUGUGAGAACCGGAAGAGCGCACAAUUUGUUAAUUACAAUCAAUGGCCUGGAUGCAAGUACGUGUUGCAAUAUGAAUCCUGCUUGUUUUAAACGUUGAAAUAUUCAAUCGUUUGAUUUAUUUUAAUCACGAUGAUUGACUACUGAUCAGAGGAAACAAAUAUUCAUAAAUGAUAACACACAAAUGUACAUAUAUCAUAUAUUGCUGUAAUACGCACCGUGAAGACCUCGAAGACAUUGAAGUAUCCAACCGGCCAAUAAUAGUUUGCCGAUCAUCGCAGGUAUUUGCACUCGUGAAAAAGUGAUUAUUAUAUCGAAGUAGUUAAACUUCCAUAUCUUAUGCAGGAGGUGUAUUCUCGGUGAUCGAUUCGAUAGCUCGGUUAAUAAAUAUUGUUAACAAAUAGAUAUACCAUCUACUCAUGCGGUUAUCGCCGCUCGAGACUUUUGGAGUUUUGAACCGGCUAUCAGUAUUCUAUCGGCGUCCCCGAUCGCACGAUCUUAUAACAUUUGAAAUUGAUCUGACAAUUAUCACGGGUGGCGCAGACAAGUGUGAACAAACCUCGUGUACGGUGGCAUUAAUCAACACCAUGUAGGCUUCUAUCGGAAGUAUUCCGGUUCACUUGCAACAGUCGGAACGCGGCAUUAGUGAUCGAAGUCAGCUGUCGAAGAGAGCACGAG